AGCUGGGUGGUGUAGUUGGUUUGUCUCGUUGGCCUUGUAAGCCUAAGGUUGCGGGUUCGACCCCUGCCCAAGUUG